AGCAGCCGCGGUAAUUCCAGCUCCAAUAGCGUAUAUUAAAGUUGUUGCAGUUAAAAAGCUCGUAGUUGAAUUUCGGGGUUAGUAGGUUGGUCAUGCCUCCGGUAUGUACUGAUCUCACUGAUUCCUCCUUCCUUAUGAACCGUAAUGCCAUUAAUUUGGUGUUGCGGGGAAUUUGGACUGUUACUUUGAAAAAUUAGAGUGUUUAAAGCAAGCUAACGCUUGAAUACAUUAGCAUGGAAUAAUGAAAUAGGACGUUCGAUCUUAUUUUGUUGGUUUCUAGGAUUGACGUAAUGAUUAAUAGGGAUAGUUGGGGGCAUUAGUAUUCAAUUGUCAGAGGUGAAAUUCUUGGAUUUAUUGAAGACUAACUACUGCGAAAGCAUUUGCCAAGGAUGUUUUCAUUAAUCAAGAACGAAAGUUAGGGGAUCGAAGACGAUCAGAUACCGUCGUAGUCUUAACCAUAAACUAUGCCGACUAGGGAUCGGAUGAUGUAAUUUUUAAUGACUCAUUCGGCGCCUUACGG
rnacentral:rRNA from 1 species